rnacentral:tRNA from 2 species
GGGGAUGUAGCUCAGUGGUAGAGCGUAUGCUUAGCAUGCAUGAGGUCUUGGGUUCAAUCCCCAGCAUCUCCA